GGACACCAGUCAGCCCUAAGCAAGUCCACCUGCAGGUAUGGGUGGCACUGCCCCAGUGCAAGAUAACAGCUUACACCGCAGGGUGAUAAAUAAUGCUAUGAAUUACAGGGACUAGUAGGUGUUGGCUGUGUGAGUAUCCUGGUGGGAUUAUGAGUAGUCUGCACCUAGUACAGGUGAGGGAGUGCUACGAUCUAGUCGUGUGUGAAACACACAGGAAAAACCCAUGCAUUCCUUUUCUCAAUGCAUUCAAGUUGUCUUUGGGGACUUGUGAGCUGGGACGAAAGUAGAUGAAAUUGAGAACAAAAAGAGUAGUUUUAGUGGUCAAAAAUUACAAAUCUGUAAUCAAACAUAGGCAUUUUGCACUUAAAGCUAAUCCUGGCUAAAUGGUGAGUAAAAAAAAUAUACAACAGCUAAAAUGAAGCCAUGUGCAACACACAACAGCUGCUAGUGUCUAUCAAAUGGUGUGAGGAAUAGAAGAUUAGGAAGGGAUGCUAACGACCACAAGAGAAGGUUCAGAAAUGCCUGGGCUCAGCACACCAAAUAGGAUGAAGAACCUUCACAGAGGUUACAUCAGACUACUAAGUGAGCAUGUGUUGUCUCCAGUCCUAAAAUACUAACAGCAGUAAUGUCAGAGCAUGGUGAUCUAAUGACAGAACCUAAUGACAGAACCUAAAGACAACGAGGUUGGAAUUAGAUUAUCUUUAAGGUCCCCUCCAACCCAAACCAUUCUGUGAACCAUAAUUUACCUAUGGCACUGCCCCUAUUUACAGAAACCUCCUGUGCUGAGCCUGCCUUCAAGCAGGACCUCACGUGGAUCAAGUGGAAUAGCCAGAAGAGGGGCACUGAGUGCCCAGCAGUCAACGCAAUGGCUUAAGCAAGUUGUUAAUAUGGUAUGAAUGGCUGCAUGCAAGUUAGGGGCACAGGGGGUUAUCGAUAGGGUGGAUCUGACCUACCCUUGGCUCCUGAAGCUAGCAGGACUGCCCAGGGCCUUGCAGACACACCACUAGAGGGAGGUAACACUUUACAAACACCCCAAGGGCCCAUGAAGUUGCUGGCAGGGCAUGAAAAUGUCUCCUGAGACCUAGACUCUGUUCUCAGGUCUGGAGAACAGCGGUCUACUUUUGUCCUCAAGCACCCAUUUGCCUCUGCUCCUAUUGUUAAAUACUUAGUCCUCAACUUUUAUUCUCACAGUUUGGGUCCUGGAAAAUCCUACCUCCUCUGCUUCUGUUCGUUGGGGUGUUGCUUCUACCUGCUUCCCAAGUACCUCUUCUCCCCAUCUGAGGGCCAGAGGAAGGACCAGUAGGGGCAGAGGAAGGAGCGAAUCAGCUCCCAGGCCCUGUGACCGGAGCUCCCUGCCAAGAACAGCAAGAAGAGCCCAGCCGAGUUCCCUGUUUGGAAAGCUUGUUCAUCCUUGGAGCCUACUGCCAAACUUUAACAAGUCAGGGCACAGGACAAUUUUCUGUGAAAGAGAAUGGGAGAUGCUUGAUUAAACUGAGAACACUUUCAGCAACCGGCCAUGGGCAUCUCUGACACAAAGCAAAUCUACUCUCUCCCAUGUUUCCAAGCAGAUAAGUGGGCAAAAAGCCUGAAGCUAAAUUUAGGAAGGGCACAUCUUUACCCAAGGAACUCCCAAAGAGAAGACUUGUUGGAGAUCAAUGUCUGAACCCAAGGAAGAAGGAGCACUUUCAGGUUCCCAGGUCUAUAGUACACCCUAACAAUAUCCCAGCUCCGUAUCAGUAUGCAACCUAGAUGUGUGUUGCCCCCAGAGACACGUGAGAAAAAGCACAGGAUUACAAGUUGAAAUGGAUACCACAAUGCUCCUUGGAUGAUUGGUUGAGCUUGUCCAUCCCAGCACUUAGCCCUCACUGAAGCAGAGUGGUUAGAAAUUCUUCCUUCUCCUUCCUCCCCUUCUCCCACCAUGAGCAAAUGCACCCUUUCCAGCACAUCCACUUCAACAUACAGAGACAGAUUUGCAGAAAUAACCUUAUCUGAAUUAAGUCAGUGAUCAGACAUUAUCCCUAGUUAAAAAACACUAGCCCAGAAUGCAUCUGAAAUAAAUGGUCUCAUUGGGCAAAAUACACAAAACAGACAGAGGAGAGGGAUCCUGUGAGAAUGAUUACUUAAUGACUCUUUCAGAUUUUGAAUAUUCAGGAUCACUAAUUCCUUACUGAAGAAAGAAUCUAAAAAAACAGGGUAGCUGAGAAAGAACAAUGUUAGCUGAGAAAGACACAGAGGGACAGACACAGAGCUGAAGAUGUAUAGGGGCAGCCUCUAAGUAGCUUGGCCUCCUCCAUACCCACCCCCACAAUCAUUUCAUGUUAUGCAGGUGUAUAUAAAAACAGGUAUACCAGUUUGAGAAAUAUGUUCCUUAAAGGCAAGAAAGAACCCAAGCUGGGAUUUAACCAGCCUUGACAAUGACAAAUUUAGAGAUGUACUCGAGAAGAAAAAUUGCUAACCUUGGCAAGUGGUUUCAGGCUGUCACAACUAGAUGACAGUCAAGGCUACCAACUGAGCACUGUGAGGAAAACAGGGACUUUCUGGGACCAGAAUUUUUAGAAUGCAAAGGGAUGCAGUCAUGCAACAGGGACGUGCUCUAUACAAGUUAUAUCAGCUGAAAAAAA